GGCUGAGGCCAUGACUUCCAUGCCCUGGGUAAGAUGUCAGUGAUCGGACUGUGUGGCUGUGGGAUGUGGACAGGAACUGAGGGACAAUUUUUCUGGAGGCAGGUGCCUGACCCGUCAGCUGGUGUGUGUGGUGUGUGUGUUUGGUACGGAGACGCCCAAGAUGGAGGAGGUUGCAGGCUUGUGACAGGCCUUGUGAGAGACGGCUCAUUUUCUUGCAGAACUGCAGCUGCAGAUGAGAGCCAGCUGUGGAGCCUUCCCUGAGAACCAAAGGCUGCUAAGGACAGAUGGGAUCUACUUGGAAAAGGAAGGAACAAGAGCACCUAUGCUAGCUGACUGCCAGCCUGGUGAAGGGAGCUUGCAACUAGGAGAGAUGAUAGGGAGAUUACAGACCACCUGUAGUGGAAACGCUGAGUCACAGCUUGAAACAAUAAUUGAACACCUGGUAGGAAGGCGGGGCCAACCCAGAGGAGCUCAGGUGCAAGCAAUUCAUCUGAGUGAUGAAAGGUGUGGAGCCAGGAUUAACCUCUUCCCAGACCUCAUUUAAGAGUUGGCAGGGGAUUAUGAAGGUUUUUCUUCUACUGCAUUCCUGCUAACCUGAGAACUUUAUAGGCCUUCCAAAGGUAAGCAGCUUCUUUCUCUUAUUUUUGUGCCUGUUGCUGUCUUAUCUGAAUAGAUCUAUAUUUGCUGCAGUAUGUGAUCUUACUCCUCAGUUGUCUUGUUGCACUUUCCAUUGUGUUACAUCACUGCUAAGGUAGUUAGUAGACAGAGAUAGAAAAUGAAUGGUGCAGGACUAUGGGCAUGAAAAAGACCUCAGAAAACAUAAAGCAGAGUGGAAAGAAGCCUG
rnacentral:lncRNA from 1 species